CAAACAUUCAUUUUCAUCAUGCCUCUUGCUCAGAAGACCGCCAAGAAGGCCGCGCCGAAGGAUGCGAAGGCGACCAAGGUCGUCAAGGUGACGAAACGCAAGUCGUACACCCGCCCCCAGUUUCGCCGCCCUCACACCUACCGCAAGCCGGCAAUGGCAAAGCCGAGCAACCGCGUGACCGUGGAGUCGAAGGAUAUUGCGGCCUUCAGUGUGAUCCGCUACCCGCUGACGACAGACAAGGCGAUGAAGAAGAUUGAGGAGAACAACACCCUGACCUUCAUCGUCGAUUCCCGCGCCAACAAGACUGAGAUCAAGAAGGCGAUGCGCAAGCUGUACCAGGUCAAGGCCGUGAAGGUCAACACCCUGAUCCGCCCGGAUGGUCUGAAGAAGGCGUACAUCCGCCUGUCUGCGGCCCACGAUGCUCUGGACACCGCCAACAAGAUCGGUCUCGUCUAAGCAGAAUUUGGAUGAUGCGAUUACUUGAGAUAAUUUCAUUUUCAUCAGCAAAAACGAAGUGCAACGGUAUCUUUGGUUCACCAGAGGCCGGCAAAGCUCUUAGGGUGGUGUAAUGGGCUGUUAGCGCUACGGUACACUGAAGCGAUCAGCUGCGGUAUCUGUGUGAGCGUCAAGGGUGCGCUGGUUUCUACAUCUCCGAGUUUUUGAUUCGCUCUGAGGAUGUAUCGCAAAAAGCACGCUGCGGUGCUGCUUUACUACUCCUGCGCUGCUGCUCCUUCAAAUGCGUCGACAUGUCCGAUUUUCUGCAGCUACUCACCUCCACUUUCAUCUCUCCCUCUUCCUUGUUGUUUUCUGUGUGUCCAUGCGCCUUGUGUGCGUCUCAACUUGCGACAACUUUUCUUUCGCGUCUCUGUGGAAUAACAUCUGAACAG
rnacentral:misc_RNA from 1 species